rnacentral:misc_RNA from 1 species
UCCCCGUUGCCGGGGCAGUCUAGCUAGAAAAAUUCAACUAACUAUAAGGGUUGCGCUCGUUGAUGGACUUAACCAAACAUCUCACGACACGAGCUGAAGACGGCCAUGCAGCACCUGUCACCGAGUUCCCCAUAGAGGGCACAAAAAAUAUACACAUCAUGAUGAUGCAUUUUUAUGCACUUUAUGGGGCACUCGGUCCUUUCGGACCAAUUCUCGGGAUGUCAAACCCUGGUAAGGUUCUUCGGUUAACAUCGAAUUAAAGAACAUGCUCCACCGCUUGUGCGGGUCCCCGUCAAUUCCUUUAUGUUUUAGUCUUGCGACCGUACUCCACAGGCGGGAUGCUUAACGCGUUAGCUUCGCUACGGAAGGGGUCGAUACCCCCCACAGCUAGCAUCCAUAG